GACGAACGCUGGCGGCGUGCUUAACACAUGCAAGUCGAACGGAAAGGCCCUGCUUUUGUGGGGUGCUCGAGUGGCGAACGGGUGAGUAACACGUGAGUAACCUGCCCUUGACUUUGGGAUAACUUCAGGAAACUGGGGCUAAUACCGGAUAGGAGCUCCUGCUGCAUGGUGGGGGUUGGAAAGUUUCGGCGGUUGGGGAUGGACUCGCGGCUUAUCAGCUUGUUGGUGGGUUAGUGGCUUACCAAGGCUUUGACGGGUAGCCGGCCUGAGAGGGUGACCGGCCAAAUUGGGACUGAGAUACGGCCCAGACUCCUACGGGAGGCAGCAGUGGGGAAUAUUGCACAAUGGGCGGAAGCCUGAUGCAGCAACGCCGCGUGCGGGAUGACGGCCUUCGGGUUGUAAACCGCUUUCGCCUGUGACGAAGCGUGAGUGACGGUAAUGGGUAAAGAAGCACCGGCUAACUACGUG
rnacentral:rRNA from 1 species